rnacentral:rRNA from 1 species
CCUACGGGUGGCAGCAGUGGGGAAUAUUGCACAAUGGGGGAAACCCUGAUGCAGCGACGCCGCGUGAGUGAAGAAGUAUUUCGGUAUGUAAAGCUCUAUCAGCAGGGAAGAAAAUGACGGUACCUGACUAAGAAGCCCCGGCUAACUACGUGCCAGCAGCCGCGGGAAUACGUAGGGGGCAAGCGUUAUCCGGAUUUACUGGGUGUAAAGGGAGCGUAGGUGGCAUGGUAAGCCAGAAGUGAAAACCCGGCGCUCAACCCCGCGGAUUGCUUUUGGAACUAUCAGGCUGGAGUGCUGGAGGGGUAAGCGGAAUUCCUAGUGUAGCGGUGAAAUGCGUAGAUAUUAGGAGGAACACCGGUGGCGAAGGCGGCUUACUGGACAGAAACUGACACUGAGGCUCGAAAGCGUGGGGAGCAAACAGGAUUAGAUACCCGAGUAGUC